GAUGAACGCUGGCGGCGUGCUUAACACAUGCAAGUCGAACGGAAAGGCCGAAGCUUGCUUCGGUACUCGAGUGGCGAACGGGUGAGUAACACGUGGGUGAUCUGCCCUGUACUUCGGGAUAAGCUUGGGAAACUGGGUCUAAUACCGGAUAUGACGAUCUCUUGGAUGGGGUUGUGGAAAGCUUUUGCGGUAUGGGAUGAGCUCGCGGCCUAUCAGCUUGUUGGUGGGGUAAUGGCCUACCAAGGCGUCGACGGGUAGCCGGCCUGAGAGGGUGUACGGCCACAUUGGGACUGAGAUACGGCCCAGACUCCUACGGGAGGCAGCAGUGGGGAAUAUUGCACAAUGGGCGCAAGCCUGAUGCAGCGACGCCGCGUGGGGGAUGACGGCCUUCGGGUUGUAAACUCCUGUCGCAAUCGACGAAGCCUUUUGGUGACGGUAGGUUGAGAAGAAGCACCGGCUAACUACGUG
rnacentral:rRNA from 1 species